AUGAAGAUAAUCUCAGGUAUUUUUGGUCCUCUUUUUUUAUCUUCACCUUUUGCUACUGUUCGCAUCUUCCAUUGCGAUCCUCAAUGGAUAUUGAUGUUGCGAUUCAUCUCCGUUCUUGCAGAAUACCGUGCUUGCUGCAAUACGAUUCCCAUGAUGAAUCGAGGGCGAAGAAGAUUAAAGGAUGAACACUAUGAUGAUUGA